CUGGUAUCUUGGCCAAUGAGAUGGGACCAGCACUCUUGUCUGAUGUCUCAUUGGUAGCCUUCAUUAGAGGAGCUUCCUGGGCUGGAUGAGAAAAAUGAAGCCCAGAGAUGUAAAGACACUUGUUCAAGAGUACACAGCUUCUAGGAGGAAGCACUGGAUUAGAACUGGGUUUCCUGACUCCCUAUCCUUUGCAGCCCACAACUUUGGAGAGCAUAGGUCUCAAAGACCAAGACAGGAACCAGAAGGGGUGGACGGAGUCAUGCUCCAUGGUCUUAAUUGGCUAGCCCACCCUUGCCCUUCCCUCCUUGUCUCUUCUACCAGCUUGUGAGCUCCAGGCGGGCAGGGAUAGUCCUUGUUCAUUUCUCGAUCCCCAAUGUCCAGGAUUAGCACUCACUAAGUGUUGUUGCUGAAAAACUGCAUCAUACAUGGAUGAAAGGAUCACCCAGGGAUGACCUUGACAUCACAAAUAAGGAAGGAACAGGACAGCCUGUGAGGUCACUGCGGUGACCUCCUUCGCAGAGGACCUCUGGUACUGCUCCAGCCACCAGUAAGCCCACUGCCUCUGGGCACUGCUCAAUGCUGCCCUUACCUGGACCCAGACCAUCAAGCUUGUCACAGGCUCCCCCCAGGCAUCCCAGACAUGACAUCCAAGACAGUUUCCUGUUACUCUCCAUCCUGCUGGAGAGUUCCAAUGACCUAUGGCAUGAAUACUCCAGACAAAGUGUUCCAGCCUUCCCCAGAAACCUCAAAAGUCUCUCAGGCACUCCAAGACUUCCAAGGCCAAAAAACUCAAGAUGUCUUUAAACAAGACCAAAGACCCCCUCAGGAAUCUGGCCAAGAAGCCCCCCAAGAAGGCUAGGCCCAGCACUUUUGAGCCUAGAUCUUUCUACUGCCUUGACCUCUGCCCCCUCCCACCAGAGCAGCUACAGGCCCCAGAGCCCCAGUUACCCUUAUCAAUCUCAGAGGCCACAGAUGUCUAUCUCCCUGAGGAUUUCCCAGCUGAGCCCAAGCUCAUGGACCAGUCCUGGGUGUCCAGGAAGAGCCUGAAACCAUCCAAGAGUCAUCUUAUGGAGCCACCCACUCCAGUGGCCAAGCACCAAAAGGCAAAGACCCGACAUAGGAGUGAGAAGAAACAAAACAAAUAAAUGCUUGGCAUCUCCAUCGACCUGGUCCUUUUCAGCCCAGACCUAUCAGCUCCAGACAUCCCAAAACAUCACCCUAUUCCAGAGGCCACAGAAUUCAUGAUUCCAGAUAAUUCGUGUUAGUCUUUGCUAUUCA
rnacentral:lncRNA from 1 species